rnacentral:lncRNA from 1 species
AUGAUGGUACAGUGAGGAGAUUGAGAGAGAUCCAAUACAUAUCUGAUUUCAAAAAAAAUCUUAUCUCACUAAGCAGACUGAAUUUGACCAGCUACAAGAUGGUAGCUGAUGGAGGAAUCCUGAAGAUUUUGCAUAACGAUAGGAUGAUAUUAGAGAAAAAGAAGAGAAUGAGAGAAUAUUACUACCUAAUAGGGAGCCCAGUG